CGGCUCCCAGUGUUUUCAGUGGGAAACAGGUCCAAAUGGCUCUUUGAGUGUUGAAGGCUGCCGACCCCUGGCCUAGUGCCUUUAGAUUUUUUUCCCCCUCUGUCUUUGACUUAAGCUUAGUGAAUAACUUGCAACUGAUCAAGUGAUGUAUCUUAACUGUUUUAUUAAGGAAAACAUUUUGAUUUUUAAAAUUUUAGGAAGUGGAAGUGAUCCAAAAUCUUCUGGUCUAUAGCUUACCUCCUGGGAGAUAACUUUUAAUCUCAACUGAAUUGGAAACUUUAAACUGUAGUUUGAAGAUCGUGUUACAAGCCAGGAACAGAAGUGAUUAAGAUAGUUGUGUCCAUUGCAGAGGCUGAUAUCCAGUUGGAGGACUAGUAGAAUAAAGUGACCAAAAUCUUUUGCCAAGGGAAGGAAGCUGAUCUGAAGGUAAAUAUAUUCCUGUCUUCAAGUGUAGGCCUAGGAUACUGGCACUCAAUUAGGUCCCUUUUUCAGAAUAUGCCCCAAAGUAAAUGGCCUGCUAGGAUAUGUUCACUACACCCAAUAGACUUGUGACCAUUAAUUUCAUUUAGCAAAUUUAGAAACCAAGGCAUGUUACAGAAAAAGUUCAAUAUUUAAAAUUCUGUCAAGUAUUUAAAAAUACAUAUAUGCAGUAGCCUAAAACCAUCAUAUCUAACUAUCCCAAACAGAAGUUCUAAAUGUUAAGAAAGUCAAUUAUAAAAACAGGUCAUGAAGAUGCUUAUAAGUAGUUUAUACACAGAUCCUCCUCUAUAAAGGCUUGUUCAUAAUUGCCGUAAAAAGAAGUUAGCAUGACUUAUUUUACAUAGUACCUGAGAAUAAAAUAAGCUUAAUUUUAUUUAAUUCAAAUAGUGGUUAAUGUAAAUAGUGGUUUCUGUUAAAUUUCUCUUGGGAGAACGACUUCCCUUUGUUUUUCAGCCUUCAAAGUAAACUUGCAAAACAGGAAAUGAGUGAAACAUGUGAGUACACUUUAGGUCAGGACAUUUUACCUUUUGGCUCACUUUGAAUAGUUCUAACAGUCCAGGAAAUGCCCAAAUAUGUUUUUGUCCUUAACUGCUAGAUUUUGUUUGUCCAUUCAAACUAAUUCAUAACUGUAAUACAAGAUUGGGUCUCUGUUUAUUUUUCAGAAUAUAUAUAACAAGAAUGCAAUUCUGUAUCAGAAGUUAAAAGUAACUACACUCUGCUUAUGGUAAAGUGCAUUAAUAUUACAUAUUAUAAUAUUAUAGAUAUAUUAGAAACCAUGAGUGGUAAACAGUUGAUAUGCUGCUAAUAAAGUCAGCACUUAAGCUCCCUAGGAACACACUGGAAAUCAAUGGAAGCAAAAGAAAUGCAUUGGAGUAGUUCCAUUUCCUCUUGAAUGGCAUCAGUACUUUAUGUCAGAAUCACAACCCAUAAAACUGAUUCUGAAGAAGGCAGAGGGAUGAGACUUCGCUUUGUAAAGCCUACGUUGAUCUAAGGCCCACCUUGAUCUUUUUUUGUAGCUAACAUCCAAUCUAUUACCAGUAGGCUAGAGUUAAACUGGUACCUUCUGGUGGUUAAAAGUGGUAUGAUCGACCCAUUGAUGCAUGUGAAUUGUGGAGUUGUUUUUUGUAGCCCUUUAAAAAGAUCACUUUUAAAACUGAUUAAAUGAAAGUAUACCCACAGCAUGAAAAAUUCUGGCUGUCAUACCACCUUCACCUCCCUGGAAACUACUCUCUGUUUCUAGUCAUGAUAUAGGCUUCUUUCUCUUAAGGCCUUUCCAUACAAUUGAGAAUAAAUUACAUAAUUUAUUUGAUUGCUAUUAUCAAGAUAGCACUUCUGUUGUGGAGCAACAGCAUUUUUCUAGCAUAGUACUUUGAUACUACAAAAUUGCAGUUCCUCUUCCAGCUAGCAUUCUAUAGUGAAUUUUCUCUGCAAUACAGCAUGAAUGAUGCGUACUUCAAAAUUGCCAUUCGUUGCCAUUUUUUACCCAUCUACCCCAAGCUUAUAUAGUUGCCAUAGAUUUAAGAACACAAGAUUGCAACAACCAUGCUGAAUCAGACCAAAGGUCUAUCAAAUCCAGCGUCCUGUUCUGUUCAGCCAGCUGCCUGUGGGGGAAGCCACAAGCAGAAUGUGAGUACAACAGCACCCUUCCCACCUAUCCUUCCCAACAACUAGUGCACGUAGGCAUACUUGCUCUAAUGCUAAAAGUAGCCAUCAGAGCAAGUACUCCUUGAGAGCUAUACAUCUAUCAAAUUUCCUUUUAAAGCUAUCCAAAUUGGUGGCCAUUGCUACAUUUUGCAGCAACAAAUUCCAUAAUUUAACAAUAUGCUGUAUGAAGAAGUACUUGAAUCUCCUACCAAUCAUUUUAUAGUAUGACCCACAUGCUAAUAUCAGGGAGAAAAUCUACUGUAGAAGCUAACGAGUAGAAGCUAAUACCUACUCAUCCAUUCUCUCCACACCAUGCAUAUUUUUGUAUACUUCACUAGCCUUUUCUCUGUUAAACAGUCCAGAAACUAUAACCUUUCCUUAUAGCAGAGUUGUUCCACUUGCACAGUCAUUUUAACUGCUCCUUUUCAGCUCUUUUUUGGUGCAAUAACCAGAAUUGUACACAUUAUUCCAAGUGUACUCACACAAUAGACUUGAAUAAGGAAAGUUUUAUUUUGGCAAAUUCUAUUUUCAGUUCCUUUUCUAAUUAUGCAUAAUGUUGUCCUUUUUAAUAGCUGCACACUGAUUUGACAUUUCAUUGGGUUAACCACCACAAUCUCAAGUUCUCCUGGUCUCUGUGUAUCACAUGCAUGGGCUCUGCACACAUGCGUGGAGCUCAUGUGGGAAGUUUCAAAAGCUGAUUAAUUAGUAUUCAGUGGGAGCCUGGCACUAGGCCUGCCCAUAGGGCAUGGAAGGACUCCCCCCAAGACUUCAGUUCUUUUUCAACCAACACUUGUUUUGUGAUUAUAAAUCUGUAAGAGGACCUUUUCUCUUAAUUCCUGACUGCUGUGUUUGCUCAGUACUUUUUAGGGAGGGGAAUUUCAUUUUUAUAUACCACCUGUUGAGUCAUAUUCCAAGAGAAGUUUACAAAAAUAAUCUUCUGUACUAUUGGUGUGAAAGUUCUGUGUUUCAGAGAUGUGUGUCCCUUUAUCCUGGCAUCUUCUGGUGUUAAGAAGAAAGUGGCAGAAGCUGACAUGGAACAGCAAGAAUCUUUGUCUUAUGAUUUCUUCUGGUCAAAAAGGAUUUGAAACUGUACAGGCCUGUUUACCAGAGCUAAACAUGGGGUUUUGAGGAUUCUGCACAUGCAGCUGACUUUUCUGUGUUCAGACGAGGUGAAGAGGACAUUUUGGAUUCCUUUGUUUGUGUUGUAUUCAAAAGGACAUUUGAACUUUGAAACUCUACAGCCACUUUUAUUUGUACUGGUACUGUUGCCAGAGACUUAGGUUCAUGGGUUGUAGUAUUUUGUAAUUAUGUAUUAUAAUUGUUCAAGCUGUUUUGUUAUAAAAAAAUUUGAUAGGAAGAGG